UAGCGGAGGAAAGGAAACCAACAGGGAUCGCCUCAGUAACGGCGAGUGAAGCGGCAACAGCUCAAAUUUGAAAUCUGGCUCUCGGGCCCGAGUUGUAAUUUGUAGAGGAUGUUUCGAGCAUGGUCUGUCCUAAGUUCCUUGGAACAGGACGUCAUAGAGGGUGAGAAUCCCGUAUGCGGUCAGGUGCCUACGCUCAUGUGAAACUCCUUCGACGAGUCGAGUUGUUUGGGAAUGCAGCUCAAAAUGGGAGGUAAAUUUCUUCUAAAGCUAAAUAUUGGCCAGAGACCGAUAGCGCACAAGUAGAGUGAUCGAAAGAUGAAAAGCACUUUGGAAAGAGAGUUAAACAGUACGUGAAAUUGUUGAAAGGGAAGCGCUUGCAACCAGACUUGCACGCAUGCUGAUCAUCCGGGCUUCUGCCCGGUGCACUCGGUUGUGUUCAGGCCAGCAUCAGUUUUGGGGGUGGGAUAAAGGCCCUAGGAAUGUAUGCUCCUCUCUACGGGGACGUGUUAUAGCCUAGGGUGGCCAAUGCCACCACCCGGGACUGAGGACCGCGCUUCGGCUAGGAUGCUGGCGUAAUGGUUGUAAGCGACCCGUCUUGAAACACGGACCAAAC
rnacentral:rRNA from 1 species